UCACGAUUUGAGCUCGAGUCGAGUCUUCGAUAGCAGCCAUCCAUCAAAGUAGCAACAACAAUAGACAAAUUCGGUGCGGCAUGAGACGAGGCCAGGCAUUUCGACCUCAGCAAGCUCGAUCUCGAGGCGGCCUAAGUCGGCCUAGGACAUGUCCUUGACCUUGGACUCGCAGCCGCUGCUACUUUUCUCGACAGAAAGAGGGAAAAGUGAAGAACAUGAGACUGGGCUCGAGAUGAGUCCUUGACAUCUUAGACUCCACAACCCUCAACUCCAUCUUCGUCUCCCUCAAAUGUCAGUGGUGGUAACCCAACAACCACCAACACCAUCAUCUUUCCGAAUUGAGACCACCAUCGUCAUCUCAUCUCCUUACAAAUUAAGACUUGUUGUAUAGCACUGAAUGGGAAUUUAUUUAUUGUCCAAAUCUACAAAUGUACAACACCUUGCUACGAUCUUUAAGUGUUCAGCAACCUGUGCAAUGUGCAAUCUCUGCUUUGAAUCUACAAGCUUGAAAGUAAAUUGAGUAUUUUAUUGAUAGUGGAAACUAUUUGUGAGACUAUAAUUCAAAGACUCGGUUUACAAGGCUCAAAGUUUUGAAUUUCUAAAAUGCUAUAUGGUUUCUCUUCCCA